UCGAGCGGCAGCACAGCAGUAGCAAUACUGUGGGUGGCGAGCGGCGGACGGGUGAGGAACACAUCGGAAUCUACCCUGUCGUGGGGGACAACGUAGGGAAACUUACGCUAAUACCGCAUACGACCUUUGGGUGAAAGUGGGGGACCCGCAAGGGCCUCACGCGAUUGGAUGAGCCGAUGUCCGAUUAGCUAGUUGGCGGGGUAAUGGCCCACCAAGGCGACGAUCGGUAGCUGGUCUGAGAGGACGACCAGCCACACUGGAACUGAGACACGGUCCAGACUCCUACGGGAGGCAGCAGUGGGGAAUAUUGGACAAUGGGGGCAACCCUGAUCCAGCCAUGCCGCGUGGGUGAAGAAGGCCUUCGGGUUGUAAAGCCCUUUUGUNCGGGAAGAAAAGCGUGCGGGUAAUAUCCGUGCGUCAUGACGGUACCGUAAGAAUAANCACCGGCUAACUUCGUGC
rnacentral:rRNA from 1 species